rnacentral:ncRNA from 2 species
GUGCAAGUAUGAACCAAUUUUGAACUAUGAAACUGUGAAUGGCUCAUUAAAUCAGUUAUAGUUUGUUUGAUGGUACGUGCUACUCGGAUAACCAUAGUAAUUCUAGAGCUAAUAUGUGCAACAAACCCGGACUUCUAGGAGGGGCGCAUUUAUUAGAUAAAAGGCUGACACGGGCUCUGCUCGCUGAUCCGAUGAUUCAUGAUAACUCUAUGGAUCGCACGGCCUUCGUGCCGGUGACGCAUCAUUCAAAUUUCUGCCCUAUCAACUUUCGAUGGUAGGAUAGGGGCCUACCAUGGUGGUGACGGGUGACGGAGAAUUAGGGUUCGAUUCCA